GAGACUNCAAUCAAAAAUUAAGCAAACAACCAAAAUAAAAGCACCGUGCUGCAUCCCUAUUUUCCAAGCAAUGAUUCUAAAAGAAAGAAAAGAUUUAGAUGCCAACACCUGACCGUGAGCAGCUUCCAAAUAUUUCAAUUGAAACAGUGUCCUGCACCGUACUACACUUCUUCAAUUCAAUUUCUGAAAUUUAAAUCAACCAAAAAAACAAAUGAAAAGGCAAUGAUUGGACCGUGCAUCACCAAGCAAGAAUGAAAAUUCCUCUCUUCAAUUGCCACCCCC
rnacentral:lncRNA from 1 species